CCCCAAUGGGUUCUCCGGAUUUCUGGAGACUUGUAGGGGUUGUGGGAUUUUUGAUGUGUCGUCUCCGGACGGGCGGUGCAGGGUAGUCGAGUUAGACUUGGUGGAAUUCCGUCGAUAGGAGUUCCGUCGAGUCUGGUCAGCUGUGUGUUGGACGGUGUAGGGUAGGCUGCUUGGACAUGGUCGGUUCGAGGAUCGAUUCGAGGGCCGGCCUGUCGAUGAUGUGUGAUGUAUGCGGUCUAGGGUAGGUUGGUUUGUCUUGGUUCGAUUUGAUGUCGGCUCCCGUGCAGGCCAGAGUGAGGGGGGUCCAGGGUAGGUGCAGGGUAGGCAGCUUAGAUUUGGUCGAUCUGGAGGUCGAUUCUCCGGCUGGCGGAUCUGACACUGUCGAAACGAGAUGCGAGGGGUGUAGGGUAGGCUAGUUUCGUACUUGCCAGGUUGCGAUUUGGACGAGAUAUGUGGUUUAGGGUAGGCUCUAGGGUAAGUAGAAUUCGAGUUUCGUCGCCGAUAGUUUUCUGUGGGUGUAUGGUAGGUACAGGGUAGGCAAAAUCUCUCUCCGGCCAGUACUUGUCUCGUGGUCGUGAGUCGAUUUUUUUGUUUUGCCAUACUAUUGAAUUUUGCGGAAAUUCAAAAGUGGCUCGGGNAGUCCCGCCUGGCGUGCGUCCGACUCGAACAUCGUCGGUGUACAUAUGAGAGGGAGUAAUCCGGCCCGGCCGGGGCCCAUCGCGAGCUGCCGGGUAGGUAAAAGUAAAAAAGUUGUUAAGAGGCGCGGUGUCGGCGUGCUUGUAUUUGCGGGAGAGAAUUAUCUGGGGGUGCUGGGUAGCCGGGAAGACUUGGACGGAUCUGGCCCGGGAAUGGGUCUGGGCCUGGAUUCUGGUGUGGUGUAGGGUAGGGUAGGCGUAGAUAGAUGAGUGGUCUAGGGUAGAUACAGGGUAGCCAGACGUCUGGUAUAUAGUAUGGGGGUGUAGGGUAGGUCUGGACACCGUUUUCCACUUUGCCCUUCGCUUUAGUCGAGGGAGGAUGAUCUUGGCUGGGACGGAGGUGUAGGGUAGGCUUAAUUUACGAUUACAUGAUCUGUGUCACUCUAGGGUAGGUGAAAAUCCCAUAUAUAUCUGAUCACAUUUGGUGAAGAGGUGGUUUGGCUGGUGAGAUGGACAAAAGUGCAAUGUAGAAUUAUAUGUGAUUUUGCAAAAGUGGGUGUGAAAUUGGAAAGUCGGUUUUCCCGCACAGAUGAGAGCACGUUUGAGGUGCCAUGAGAUGCACCUCUCCGAGACGACCUCAACGGUACCACCCAUGUGUUGGUCGGGCUCCUGUGCGGCCGUCCAGGGCGGGAUAAGUAGAGAAUGUGGUGGUGUAGGGUAGGUGACCAGGUUCAGGGUAGGUUCGCCAAAUCCGUCAAUCCGGCUUGAAUCGAAGGACAGGUCUAGGGUAGGCCAGAGUCGGGUCUAGGGUAGGCAACCGUCACCCUCGAAGUGGUCUACCCGGUAGCCAACUUCAAUCGCCUCUCACGGCCGCCACAGACCUCGCAUGACGACGGGACUACCACCAUCGGAUUCGCCUUGGUCGAAAUAGCUGGUAUAUGCACUUUUGAAAAAAUGCGUGCAAAAUGGUUUUGUGGUUUGGUGGCUGUGAGUCGAUUUUUUUGUUUUCCCAUACAAAUGAAUUUUGCGGAAAAUAAAAAGUGGCCCACGAGGCAGUCCUGGCGUGCGGCCCACUAAAACGGUCUCGGAGGGUAUAUGAGAAGGGAGCAAAUCCGGCCGAGCCUGAAAGGGUGAGGACAAACCGGGCGAGCAACCUCUCAGUAUCAGAUCUUGCAGACUUCCACUGCGUGUCCCUCUGUACAGCUUUGCAGGCUCCGGCCUCGGCAGCGGGGGGUUCAUAGUGGUCGUCGACCUCCACGAAACUGCACGCUCCGGCGUGACAGCGUACUGGGGAUGCCUGUGUAGAUGCAGUCCGGGCUUGCCUGGACCGCUAGCAGAUGGGCUCUGUGGAUGACUGGCCGCUGGCUAGACCUGAAACCUGAGCAACGGGAGGUAACCUCUCGCCGCGGACACCGGAAUGGUAGAAGCGGCGUGCUGCGUCCUCCUCUUGGGGCCCCUAAGCCACACCU
rnacentral:misc_RNA from 1 species